GUCUAAUACCGGAUAUGACUGUCCAUCGCAUGGUGGAUGGUGUAAAGCUCCGGCGGUGCAGGAUGAGCCCGCGGCCUAUCAGCUUGUUGGUGCGGUAGUGGCGCACCAAGGCGACGACGGGUAGCCGGCCUGAGAGGGCGACCGGCCACACUGGGACUGAGACACGGCCCAGACUCCUACGGGAGGCAGCAGUGGGGAAUAUUGCACAAUGGGCGAAAGCCUGAUGCAGCGACGCCGCGUGAGGGAUGACGGCCUUCGGGUUGUAAACCUCUUUCAGCAGGGAAGAAGCGAAAGUGACGGUACCUGCAGAAGAAGCGCCGGCUAACUACGUGCCAGCAGCCGCGGUAAUACGUAGGGCGCAAGCGUUGUCCGGAAUUAUUGGGCGUAAAGAGCUCGUAGGCGGCUUGUCACGUCGGAUGUGAAAGCCCGGGGCUUAACCCCGGGUCUGCAUUCGAUACGGGCUAGCUAGAGUGUGGUAGGGGAGAUCGGAAUUCCUGGUGUAGCGGUGAAAUGCGCAGAUAUCAGGAGGAACACCGGUGGCGAAGGCGGAUCUCUGGGCCAUUACUGACGCUGAGGAGCGAAAGCGUGGGGAGCGAACAGGAUUAGAUACCCUGGUAGUCCACGCCGUAAACG
rnacentral:ncRNA from 1 species